rnacentral:rRNA from 1 species
CAAACGACUCUCGGCAACGGAUAUCUCGGCUCAUGCAUCGAUGAAGAACGUAGCGAAAUGCGAUACUUGGUGUGAAUUGCAGAAUCCCGUGAACCAUCGAGUUUUUGAACGCAAGUUGCGCCCGAAGCCAUUCGGCGGAGGGCACGUCUGCCUGGGCGUCACAC